rnacentral:tRNA from 1 species
CGACGCUUGGCUCAGCUGGCAGAGCACGUCUUGACCAGGCGGGGGUCGCAGGGUCGGAACCUGCAGCGUCGACCA